GUAAGGAUUCGGAUCUUUGAAUCCGAUUGACUCAGAUUCAACCACCACUACUGCCAACUUGUUGCAGACAUGAGACGUGCUGAUACCCGCUCUCGGUCUAAACGUCCAGCGAACACGCUGAGCUCGGCAAGGAAUACCCCUGCCGCCGGAGACGAAUCGGUUGAGGAGGAAGCGGCGGGAACGUCUUCCACCGCUAGGACCACAGUCGCUCCUAAUGCCCAACUGGCUUCAACGAGACUGCGCCAUGAGCUGCAGAUGGCCAGGCAGAAGUCGGACUGGCAGCAGGAGCUGGUUAAAGACUUGACCAAAGAAAGGGACUUCCUGCUGGAACAACUGGCUAUGACAGCAAGAAAAAAGGACAAGGGCAGUCCACCCCAGGCGAAGAAGUGCCAGUCGCAGGGAGCCGACUCAACCGACUCGUCCAAGUCGGGGCCUGAUUCUUCCCACUCUUCUUCCGACUCUUCCUCCGACUCUUCCUCCUCGGAUGAGGGACGGAAGAAGAAGAAGAAGAAGAAGAAGAAGAAGAAGAACAGCAGGGGAAAAGGACGGAAGCAGGGGAAAAGGGCAAAGAACCGGAAGGGGCAAGGUGUUUACCAGCGAGCUAAAGAUCCUGAAGAGGUGGUGGCCCGGUACCGCAAGGUGCUGAAAAUCUGCAGGAAGGGAAGAACCAUGGGGGGCAGCCUUCAAAGCUGUGGGGGUCGACCGCAACACCAUUGUUGUAAAUGCCCCCAUGGCAGAGCUGUGCAUUGCUGCCCCAGAGGCGUAUGCAGAGCUAAAAGAGAGCGCCCCCAAAAAGGAGAAGCUCUCCAGUUUUGCACAGAGGUGCAAGGAUGCCAUAGACGUGGACGAAAACAUUGUUACCCAAAUCAAAGAAUAUAAAGACUCUGGCAAACUUUUGCCAAUUACUAAAAAAAACUAGCUGAUCCCCUUAUUUAAAGUUACGUUGUUGUUGUUGCUGUUGUGUUAGAUAUUAGAUUAUUAGAAUGCAUGUUUAAAGUGAAUUUAUUGUCAGUGUG
ensembl:lncRNA